AGUCUGUACAUAAGUAAUUAAAAUACUCAAUAUUACCAUUUAAUUAAAAAUUAAAACGUCAGGUAAAUAUCAGGUCUCUAGUAUAUCCCGUUUUUAGUGUGCCCCUUCGAGUCGACGUCGGCCACAUGUUUGCCAUGGUUUACAAACUGAAAAUAGAAUGAUUUGUGAAGUUGAACAUUUUCUCACAAAGAAUCCGUUUGUAGACAUGUACACUCAUUUAAUCUGCAGCUACGAAGUACUUUGUCACUUCUCUGGAACAUUAUUCUAAGCAGAAUUAUUCCGAUUCAUAUAUUCUAAGAAUCUUGUGUGAAUUGUUUACGAGGAAAUUCUGACUGUCACAUUAACAAGGAUGAACACUCUUGACUCUGCUUCGAAUUCCCCAGUGAUAAUUGUAUCGAGUGAUGAAAGAGCUGACGGCGACAUUUUAAUGUAUGAUUAGCUUGGACCAUUGGAAUGAAGUCAUUUCAUGGUGCCACCACUUGGGAUGGUAUUAGCUGCAAAUAUAGACUUGUACUCAGCACUUAUUGCCUUUAAGAAGUAUGAGAUCCAUUUUGUGCUAACACCUACCGUGACACAGAAUCUUGGUUUAUGCAGUCUCAUAGGAGUAACCUGUCUAAAGCAUUUAGCAAUGGGAUUGGAACCUGCGACGUGUGACUCAUCUGAAUACUGAAUUUUGAUACCAAGCAUGACCAUGAUUUGCCAGAAGAUCAUCUGUUUGGAUGUGACAUGGAAUAAACAGCAUAGUGAAAAUAAGUCAAGUUUUGGUUUGUGAAGACAAUUUUUAAA